rnacentral:rRNA from 1 species
UUUAUGGAGAGUUUGAUCCUGGCUCAGAGUGAACGCUGGCGGCGUGCCUAAUACAUGCAAGUCGAACGAUGAAGCUUCUAGCUUGCUAGAAGUGGAUUAGUGGCGCACGGGUGAGUAACGCAUAGGUCAUGUGCCUCUUAGUUUGGGAUAGCCAUUGGAAACGAUGAUUAAUACCAGAUACUCCCUACGGGGGAAAGAUUUAUCGCUAAGAGAUCAGCCUAUGUCCUAUCAGCUUGUUGGUAAGGUAAUGGCUUACCAAGGCUAUGACGGGUAUCCGGCCUGAGAGGGUGAACGGACACACUGGAACUGAGACACGGUCCAGACUCCUACGGGAGGCAGCAGUAGGGAAUAUUGCUCAAUGGGGGAAACCCUGAAGCAGCAACGCCGCGUGGAGGAUGAAGGUUUUAGGAUUGUAAACUCCUUUUGUUAGAGAAGAUAAUGACGGUAUCUAACGAAUAAGCACCGGCCAACUCCGUGCCAGCAGCCGCGGUAAUACGGAGGGUGCAAGCGUUACUCGGAAUCACUGGGCGUAAAGAGCGCGUAGGCGGGAUAGUCAGUCAGGUGUGAAAUCCUAUGGCUUAACCAUAGAACUGCAUUUGAAACUACUAUUCUAGAGUGUGGGAGAGGUAGGUGGAAUUCUUGGUGUAGGGGUAAAAUCCGUAGAGAUCAAGAGGAAUACUCAUUGCGAAGGCGACCUGCUGGAACAUUACUGACGCUGAUUGCGCGAAAGCGUGGGGAGCAAACAGGAUUAGAUACCCUGGUAGUCCACGCCCUAAACGAUGGAUGCUAGUUGUUGGAGGGCUUAGUCUCUCCAGUAAUGCAGCUAACGCAUUAAGCAUCCCGCCUGGGGAGUACGGUCGCAAGAUUAAAACUCAAAGGAAUAGACGGGGACCCGCACAAGCGGUGGAGCAUGUGGUUUAAUUCGAAGAUACACGAAGAACCUUACCUAGGCUUGACAUUGAGAGAAUCCGCUAGAAAUAGUGGAGUGUCUAGCUUGCUAGACCUUGAAAACAGGUGCUGCACGGCUGUCGUCAGCUCGUGUCGUGAGAUGUUGGGUUAAGUCCCGCAACGAGCGCAACCCCCUUUCUUAGUUGCUAACAGGUCAUGCUGAGAACUCUAAGGAUACUGCCUCCGUAAGGAGGAGGAAGGUGGGGACGACGUCAAGUCAUCAUGGCCCUUACGCCUAGGGCUACACACGUGCUACAAUGGGGUGCACAAAGAGAAGCAAUACUGCGAAGUGGAGCCAAUCUUCAAAACGCCUCUCAGUUCGGAUUGUAGGCUGCAACUCGCCUGCAUGAAGCUGGAAUCGCUAGUAAUCGCAAAUCAGCCAUGUUGCGGUGAAUACGUUCCCGGGUCUUGUACUCACCGCCCGUCACACCAUGGGAGUUGUGUUUGCCUUAAGUCAGGAUGCUAAAUUAGCUACUGCCCACGGCACACACAGCGACUGGGGUGAAGUCGUAACAAGGUAACCGUAGGUGAACCUGCGGUUGGAUCACCUCCUUUCUAGA